rnacentral:rRNA from 1 species
GUCAGCCGCCGCGGUAACACCGGCGGCCCGAGUGGUGAUCGUGAUUAUUGGGUCUAAAGGGUCCGUAGCCGGUUUGGUCAGUCCUCCGGGAAAUCUGAUAGCUCAACUAUUAGGCUUUCGGGGGAUACUGCCAGACUUGGAACCGGGAGAGGUAAGAGGUACUACAGGGGUAGGAGUGAAAUCUUGUAAUCCCUGUGGGACCACCUGUGGCGAAGGCGUCUUACCAGAACGGGUUCGACGGUGAGGGACGAAAGCUGGGGGCACGAACCGGAUUAGAUACCCGGGUAGUCCCAGCCGUAAACGAUGCUCGCUAGGUGUCAGGCAUGGCGCGACCGUGUCUGGUGCCGCAGGGAAGCCGUGAAGCGAGCCACCUGGGAAGUACGGCCGCAAGGCUGAAACUUAAAGGAAUUGGCGGGGGAGCACAACAACGGGUGGAGCCUGCGGUUUAAUUGGACUCAACGCCGGACAACUCACCGGGGGCGACAGCAAUAUGUAGGCCAAGCUGAAGACUUUGCCUGAAUCGCUGAGAAGAGGUGCAUGG